rnacentral:rRNA from 1 species
ACAUUGUGUCUUCGAGUCGUUGAUUUCACACUGCCGAGAAAAGCCUCUAGAUAGAAAAUAGGUGCCCGUACCGCAAACCGACACAGGUAGUCAAGAUGAGAAUUCUAAGGUGAGCGAGCGAACUCUCGUUAAGGAACUCGGCAAAAUGACCCCGUAACUUCGGGAGAAGGGGUGCUCUUUAGGGUUAACGCCCAGAAGAGCCGCAGUGAAUAGGCCCAAGCGACUGUUUAUCAAAAACACAGGUCUCUGCUAAACCGUAAGGUGAUGUAUAGGGGCUGACGCCUGCCCGGUGCUGGAAGGUUAAGAGGAGUGGUUAGCUUCUGCGAAGCUACGAAUCGAAGCCCCAGUAAACGGCGGCCGUAACUAUAACGGUCCUAAGGUAGCGAAAUUCCUUGUCGGGUAAGUUCCGACCCGCACGAAAGGCGUAACGAUUUGGGCACUGUCUCAACGAGAGACUCGGUGAAAUCAUAGUACCUGUGAAGAUGCAGGUUACCCGCGACAGGACGGAAAGACCCCGUGGAGCUUUACUGUAGCCUGAUAUUGAAAUUCGGCACAGCUUGUACAGGAUAGGUAGGAGCCUUUGAAACGUGAGCGCUAGCUUACGUGGAGGCGCUGGUGGGAUACUACCCUAGCUGUGUUGGCUUUCUAACCCGCACCACUUAUCGUGGUGGGAGACAGUGUCAGGCGGGCAGUUUGACUGGGGCGGUCGCCUCCUAAAAGGUAACGGAGGCGCUCAAAGGUUCCCUCAGAAUGGUUGGAAAUCAUUCAUAGAGUGUAAAGGCAUAAGGGAGCUUGACUGCGAGACCUACAAGUCGAG